rnacentral:rRNA from 1 species
GACAGGGGACCCGAGCGUUAGUCGGAAUUACUGGGCGUAAAGGGCUCGUAGGCGGCCAACUAAGUCAGACGUGAAAUCCCUCGGCUUAACCGGGGAACUGCGUCUGAUACUGGAUGGCUUGAGGUUGGGAGAGGGAUGCGGAAUUCCUGGUGUAGCGGUGAAAUGCGUAGAUAUCAGGAGGAACACCGGUGGUGUAAACGGCUUUCUGGACCAUAACUGACGCUGAGGCACGAAAGCGUGGGUAGCAAACAGG